CCACGAAUGAUUUCUGUGUAGUUAAAAAUCAUGAAAUAAUAAUUAAGUGUAUAAUAUUAUUGACAAAUCUGUAUAGAUGUAGAUGAAUGUUCCCGACAUUUGGACAACUGCGCCAGCCGGGGUUCUCAAUGUAUCAACACUAUUGGGAGUUUUUCGUGCAGAUGCAACAAUGGUUAUACCGGAACUGGUGUGACUUGCACUGGUAGGUGAUGCAAUCAUUUUAUUACGGACAACUCAAUACUACAAUCACUUCGUGCUCUUUUCUUCACUUCUUGUGUUUCCUUUUAGACAUCGAUGAAUGUACCCUAGCUAUUGACAACUGUCCCCAAAACAGAAGAUGCAGCAACAGUGUUGGAUCGUUUCUUUGCAGUUGUGAUAGUGGAUAUUCUUGGAAUGGGACGGUUUGCGCAGG